GUGAGACAGCUUCCCUCCUGAGCCCAGAGGGGAGCCUCCUUUGGGCCAGUGACCUGUGUGGUGCAGCCCCAGGGAGGGUCCCCACUACCCUGCGUGGUGCAGCCCCAGGUUGGGUCCCAGUUACCUUGUGUGGUGAAGCCCCAGGUCCCUGUGCCAGCCCAGGAGACACAGGCAUUUCAGCAGCUUGCAUGUGUCUCUGUCUAGCUUUUCUUGGGCCACAGAAGCCAAGACAGCCACAGGUAUUCCAUCAGGCCAGAAGCAAACACCUUCACUUUGGGUUGUGAUCCACUGUCUUUGUGCUCUCUUUUAGCAUUUAGAAGUCAUGGCCAUAUCCAAAGGAUGUCCCUCUAAUAAUCAAGUCUCUUCUCUUUGCUAGGCCCAUCCUCACCAUUUCCUUCCUUUCUCAUCCAAGGAGGUUGCCCGGUUCUGUUUUUGUAACAACUUUAUUGAGUCCUAAUUCACACCACACACCCAUUUUAAGCAUAUAGUUCAGUGGGUUUCUUGUAUUCAUCACCAUACUCAACACAAAAUUGUGUUGCUAUUUGACCUCUUCCAGCUUCUCUCCCUGGUGAGUUAUGCCCUGCAGACAAUCCUGCUGAUCUUACGUAAAUUGGGUUUAUGGGGCCUCAGGCACUAGGCCACUGGCCAUCUCCACCCAGACGUACAGCCUGUCUUCAGACAUUGUAAAAGAGAUAAAAAGACAACUCCCAUGCAAACAUGCAAGGAACAGGCUCCAAGGAUUUUAUUCAAUUCAUUCAUUAACAAGGGAAGAGGUAUGAGUCAGACAUUAGAACUGGUUCAAAGAGUGUUUCAGGACCUAGGGAUUUGCAGGCAUUUUAAUAAAGGAAUGUUAAGAUAAGAUUGCUCAGUUAGGCACAAAACUGGUUGACAUCUUAAAAAACAAACUGCAUCAUUUGGGAGUGUAUUUUCUUACUUGUUUUAAAGUGUAGGUUUUCUUAUUGUUUAGGUAUGAUGAGGCCAACAGAUUAGGAGAUGAGUGCCACUGAAAAUACAGUUUGUUACUCAUGGCUCCCAGGGGAAGGGGGCUGCCACCCCACCCCACCCCACCCAGGGCCACAUUGGGAAGCCCAGAGUCUGCUGGAGGUUAAGACCCUCCUUUAUAGUGGUUUCUGUGGGUGAAAGGAGUUAGGUGAGGCCAGCAGGCUGGGCAGGGUUAGCAGCAGCAGCCGGUUUGAGUCACUCCAGCAGGGUGUUGACAGAGACGGUCCUGCUCAACAGAGGAAGAGAAUGGCUUUGUGGUGUUUUUGGUGGAAUGUACUUGCAGGGCAGUCACUUGCUAGCUCUAAGAAUGGACCAACCCUACCAGGGGUGGUCUCUCCCCCAAGAGGCCCCGAAUGCCAGAGCAUCAAGAAUAUAGAAAAUGAGAUAAGAGAGUUGAUCUCAAGUAGACAUAACUAUUUGUGCCUCUACUGGUAAAUAUCUUCCUGUUAAUGAGUGGACUAAGUGGCUUCCCCUAAUCCUUAGGUGGGGCUCUCCCUUUGUAUGACAUGAAAUGACAUUCAAUCCUCCUUUUCUUUUUGUCUCCAAGUUCUAGCCAUCAGUAUUAUCUUCAUAAAAUCUGUGGCAACUUCAGGUUAACUGCUGAGAGUGUGGACACUGGAACCUGGAUUCCAAUUUGGCUCUGCAACUGCAAGCCCUGUGCCCUUGGGCUUCACACCUGCCCUGUCUGUGCUUCAGGAGCCUUGUAGGGGAAGGAGGGACCUGGUCUCAAAGGGACAUUAUUAAAAUCAGUAGCUGCACGGUAUACAUUUUUCUAUGCUUUUACUUUCGAUCCUUCUGUGUCUUAAUAUUUAAGGUCAGAUCUCUGAGACUUCAAGCAUAUAGUUGGAUUUUAACUCAAGCUGAUCAUCUUUGUAUUGAAGUAGUUUGUUUACAUUUAAUAUACAUAAAGUUACAUUCAAGUUUAUUUUGACCAUCUCAUUAUUUGCUUUUUCUUUUUUUUUAGACAGAAUCCUGGUCUGUCACAAUCAUAGUAGCAUCAUCAUGGCUCACCCCAGCCUUAAACUCCUGAGCUUAAGUGAACCUCCUGCUUCAGCCUCCUGAGUAGCUGGUACUAUACGCAUGUACCACUGGGUGUAGCUAAUCUUUUUUUUCUGUUUUUAUUAGAGAUAGGGUCUUCCUCUUCCUCAGACCGAUCUUGAACUCUUGCCUCAAGCAAAUGAGCAACCAUACCUGCCUGCUUGUUAUUUAUUCCAUCUUGUUUUUUUUUUUUGGCCAGGGCUGGGUUUGAACCCACCACCUCUGGCAUAUGGGACCAGCACCUUACUCCUUGAGCCACAGGCACCGCCCCCAUCUUGUUUUUUUAAAACGCCUAUGAUGGGCUCCUUGAAUUAAUACACAGUAUUUUUAUUAUUCCAUUUCCUCCUUCCACUAACUUGUUAAACAUUCUUUGACUGUUCUUUUAGUGUUUGCUCUAGGGCAGUGCUGCCUAAUAGAACUUUCUCCUAUGAUAGAAAUACUCUGUGACUGUGCUGGCACCCGUGUAUGACUCCCUGCCCCAGGAUCUGGGGACAUCUGUGUUCCUCUGUAACAGGUAUGUGCAAACUUCCUUGGUGAAGGACCAGUUGGUAAAUAUUCUAGGUGUUCCAGGCUGUAUGAUUUCUACUUAACUCUGACAUAUAACUUGACAGCAGUCAUAGAUAACAUGAAAACAAAUUAGUGUGUCCUCUAAAAAUUUUAUUUACAAAUCAGAUUUGUGACCGGAAUAUUUGCGUACCACUGCUCUGUGGCCUCAUCCUCUUUGAGGUGACUUUGUUUCCAGGGCUCCAACUCAGAAUAGAGCCUUUUCAUGACAGACUAUUUCCUAACCUAAUCUUUUUGGUCCAGUGGUGAUAGCAGUUUUUUCACUAUUGCUUGUCCCAGUUAACACCUAUGUGGCUUUCUUAUUCUCACCCACAUCUGUUAAUAGUCUCUUAAUUAAACUUUCUUCAGUUGAACAUUUGAGUGUGCCAUCUUUUGCCUAAGAUUCCAACAUAUGUAACUUCACACUUACGUCAUAGCAAGUAUUUCACUGUGUCCUAAGUAACAAUAAGCAGUUUACAUAUGUAUCUCCUUAUAUCACCAUCAGCCUAGGGGCAGAUAUCAUGUCUUGGCUGUGUUCAUAUUCACCAUAAACCCUGUUGGUCCAUGCAAGCAACUGGAAUGCAAAAUCUUUCCUAAAUUGCAGGAGCAGUGUAGAAAUGAUGCCGGGAGAGGUCAGAAUUAGGAAAAAAGAUGAAGUGUUUUCUGAAGUAAACAGGUAGUGAAAGAGGAAAUUUUCCAGAUAGAUGGAGUAUGUAAAUUAGAGCUAGUAGACUUAGUCUCAAUGUCAUCAUGGGAAGGAAAAAUUAUCAGUACUUGGUGUGAACAGAGUCAACUGUUGAGUGGUGAGUGAGAUGGUGUGAACAGUCAGUUGUUGAGGAGUGGUGGGGGAGGAGAUGGUGUCAACAGAGUCAAUUGUUGAGGAGUGGUAGGUGAGGAAACGACAAGAGUCAGUUGUUGAGGCGUGGUGGCGGAGGAGAUGGUAUCAAUGGUCAGUUGUUGAGAAGUGGUGGGUGAGGAGAUGGUGUGAACAGAGUCAGUUGUUGCGGAGUGGUGGGUGAGGAGAUGGUGUGAACAGAGUCAGUUGUUGAGGAGUGGUGGAUGAGAUGGUGUGAACAGAGUCAGUUGUUGAG